rnacentral:rRNA from 1 species
UGGGGAAUAUUGCACAAUGGGCGCAAGCCUGAUGCAGCCAUGCCGCGUGUAUGAAGAAGGCCUUCGGGUUGUAAAGUACUUUCAGCGGGGAGGAAGGGAGUAAAGUUAAUACCUUUGCUCAUUGACGUUACCCGCAGAAGAAGCACCGGCUAACUCCGUGCCAGCAGCCGCGGUAAUACGGAGGGUGCAAGCGUUAAUCGGAAUUACUGGGCGUAAAGCGCACGCAGGCGGUUUGUUAAGUCAGAUGUGAAAUCCCCGGGCUCAACCUGGGAACUGCAUCUGAUACUGGCAAGCUUGAGUCUCGUAGAGGGGGGUAGAGUUCCAGGUGUAGCGGUGAAAUGCGUAAAGAUCUGGAGGAAUACCGGUGGCGAAGGCGGCCCCCUGGACGAAGACUGACGCUCAGGUGCGAAAGCGUGGGGAGCAAACAGG